CCCCCUAUUCUAUUUUUGUGCCCCUCUCCCAUCUCAACAUCCUCAUUUCCAGCCUCUCUGCCCAGGAAAUUGGAUCGAAGUGAAGUUCCAUCACAAUGUCUGUCAAAUCCAUGGUGUUUCUGGCCACUAUGGUCUUUGCCAUCAUGGCUGCUGCUGCAAGUAAGUGUUUGUAAAGUUCUUCUGUUCUCUUCAUUUCUGGCUCUUUAUCUGUGUUACCCUCAUCCCCCCUAGUACCACCACCACGUCGUGGUUAAGGACCACCAUGUAAAUCAAUGAAUUGCUGACAUUUGGAGUGGUCGUAGACCUCCCUCGUGAGGCUGCUGAGAAAGCUGUCGUUGAUGCCGCUCGUGGGUUGGGCAACCAGGGUUUCCUUGGACAGAUUGUUGCCCGUCAGAACAUUGUCACCGUGACUGCUACCGCUGACAGCUGCGCACCGGUUGACCCGGCGACUUCGUCAUCUGAGGUUCCUGAAAUCCAGUCCACAACAACUCCACUCCCUCUUUCUUCUUCCAGCAGUGUGGCAGUUUCUUCUGCUGUAGUGUCUUCUGUUGAUCCAAUUGCGACGUCCUCUGUGGCUGCGAGCAGCACCUUCUCAGCUUCCAGAGUUACCCCUUCCGCGUCGACCCCCGUCAGCUCAGAGACACCUUCUCCACCCGCCGAAACCAACUUUGCAACUCGCAAUGGUGGUCUUGACGAGACAAUCAUCGUUGGUGUUGCUGCAUUUGCUGCUCUUGCGGCAUUGUGAACCCCUAACGAAGUGACAGUGAAUCCGUAUGAAUUCAUUGUCAAUUUGAAGAAUCGCAAGUUGCCUGUUUGCAUGGUUAGCCAAAUAGCCAUCAUCGUAUGUAUGAAAUAUGACUUGAAAUGAUUUUCCUUGAUUUCUGUUUGUGGCAAUGUUUUUGAACGCUGUGGGGGGGCAAUUGGAAUGUAUGUUAUUUUGCAGAUGUAUUGCGCAGCUAGGGGGCUUUAAUGGGGUCAUACUGGGAAUAGAUUCAG
rnacentral:sRNA from 1 species